GCCAGAGUUAAACUUUCCAUUUAUUUAAAAAAAAUAAAAGGUACCAAUCUACAACCAGCAUUAUGACUUUGUCUUAAUUUAUGACCAAGGCCAAACAAUCUGAAAUACAACUGUAAGUGUGAAAUACAACUGUAAGUUGAGAAAAUCUCUGAAAUAAUCAUCUUUCGGAGAAAAGUGUGCUACAAUCCUGAGGUAUUUUGUUUUCUUUCAUAGUUUACCAUUUAUGUCCUCAGUUAAUGACGGUGUUAUCACAGAGAAAAUCUAGAGUCAAUCCCUUCAGUCAGUACUCAAUCAAUGUGUAGUUACCUGGCCAGCAGCUCUUCAGGCUCCACGGAUCCCAACUAGCUGCCAAAGAACCAGAGGACACGAUGAGAAGUUGGCCUCUGAAACUAAACAGGAGGUGGCAGAAGCUACUGUUUGUUCAUACCAGUGACCCUGAGCUUUCCAGAAGAUAUAGAUGAAACCCUGGCCACUCAAUCCUGGGUAUGAGCGCGAUACAGAAAACGCCAAUAACUUUAACACCUUCCCAGUUUCAUCUGAAAUACAACUGAUUAUGAAUAGAUUCCUCAACUUUAAUAUAUACAAAUUGGAUUGUUUAACCCCAUGGAACUCAACUCUUCCUCACCAUAGUAAAUGAAGUCACCAUCUGAAAUCACCACCUAUCCAAUAAUUUAUUCUGAAUGUAAUUAAUCGGGCCGGCCAAGUGGCGCGAUGGUUG